rnacentral:lncRNA from 1 species
CUGAAAUUGGGAUUUUGAAGACAGGCUCACCCAUGUCCCUUGCAGCAUAAUUCACCAUAGCAAAGAUGUGGAAGUAACCUGGGUGUCACAGACAGAUGAAUGGAUAAAGAACGGAGUGUUUUUCCACCUUAAAAGGAAGCAGAUCCUCUCAAUCCAUUUGCGAUGGUGUGGUCGGACCUGGAGGGCAGUGUUCUGUUAGGAGAAAUAAGCCAGACAUUGAUGUAAUACUGUCUGAUGUCACUUCUGUGGAAUCUAAAGUGGUCAAACUACAAGCAGAAUGGUGGUCACCUGGAGCAACGAGGAGCAGGUGAUGAGGUGAGGCUUAAACGGUACCAAGUUUGAGUGACACAAAAUGAAAAAGUUCUGCAGACCUAUGUAGCAUAAUGCCUGUUACUAACAAAACUGCUUUAAAUUUGCCAAAAGGGUACAUCUUUUGUUAAAUGUUCUCAACCAAAAAUGCCAAUUCAAGAAACAGUAAUAAAUGGAGCAGGAGGAACCUUCAGGAGGUGAUGGAUGUGUUUAUCAUGCUGGUGGUGGCAGUGACCUCACUAGUGU